AAUACAUAAGAUAAUAAUUUUUCUAGACUCCCUUUAGAUCUCAAUGAAUAUAUAAAUUAAUAAUUGAUUAAAUAAAUAUUAAAAAAUGUAAAAAAAAUAUUUAAUAAUUACUAAAAUACAUAAAAGUAAGAGUAAAUAAUGUUCAAAAUACAAAUUAUGGAAACUCUUAAAACUAUUAAUUUCUCAAUUUAUUUAUUCCUAAAGUAUCCAUAUAUAGUCUUUCGUUUUUUUCUUGUAUUAUGAAAAAUUAAGAAAAGAGAAAUUUUAUUAACACAUCUCUAAUUAUUAGAUACACAUUUCAUACUUAAUACACCAUUUGUUAACUUUUUUGUUUUAACAUUUUACUAGAUACACAUACUCAAACUUCUUACAAUACUCUCAUUUAACAUACACAAAUUAUUCGCUAAAUAAACAACUCAUUCACUAUACAUAUUUUUCUAGAUCUGCUACUCAAUUUAUUUAAAAAAAAAAAUCACAUUACUAAGAUUUUUCUCAACAUGUUUCAUAUUUCCUCAUACUGUUUCACCUCAUUGACAUAUUCAUCAAAGGUUUUUAUUUUUUCUCUAAAGGGUUUAACCUUGUUAAGAUCUUCCUCGAGAGAUUUCCUCUUUGUUAACAUCUUCUCCCAUCAGUUUUCUUUGACAAAUUUUCUUCUCAAGGAGCCUCUUACUCAAAUUGAUUUCAAGAUUUCUUGAGCCUACCGAAUCUGUCACACCCCAAUUUUCGAAGGAUAAAAUUUCAAAAAUUUGGGCAUGAUAAAACUCAAAUUCUAAAUACCCCAAACGUGCUCAACAACUUUCAAACUAAAAACAGAUACUGGAAAAGUAAAUGUCAACGAACUCAACAACUGAGUUAAACAUUUAUUCUCCUUAAAUACAUCAACUUCCAAAAGUCUAGUAAUAAACAACUUCGCUCACAAGAGCUUAAAACAACUACCAUAAAAAAAUACAAAUAAAUGUAUCUCGUCAAAAACCCAGCUCCUAGGCCACUGCCUCAACCCUGCUGAUCAUCACCUGCAGGUCUAACCCCUACACCAUGAAUUGGUGUACCGGGUUGUAAACAACAAACCUGGUAAGCUAAAAAGCUCAUAUGAGUAACUCCCAAAUAUUAACUCAACAAAUCCAACAU
rnacentral:lncRNA from 1 species